UGAAUAGUUAUGAUGUUCAAAAGUAGUUCUAAUGAUUAGACGGAUUUUGUUUAUGUUUCUACAUAACCCCAAUAAAAUAAUAAUUUUUACAUGUAGCUGAAGGCUUUUGAAAUAUUGAAAGUUACAGUUUGGAUAAAUCGAUGACUUCACAGGGAACAAAUGGACGACACAAACGGAAUGCUCUGACCUGGAAGUUGAGUGGACGUUCCGGUCUCGGCACAGGGAACUCGUGGCUGUUGUUCUCCACUUGGUGAUGAUUGUCCGCAGCAAAAUCCUCAAUCCGGUGACAGGUCAGUUCAGAGACGAUACAUCGACAAUAGGACAAAAAGUAGACGUAAAAAGAAAAGAAGCUAGAAUAGAUUCGACCAUUACAAUAAGUUUUACAUAUGUAAUAAUUACCUCGAAGAUGUUUCGAGCUUCUCAAGUAAACCGAAUGGUUUGUACGAUUUUUGUGUCCGCCGAAGCGAUGCUGUUCAAUACCGUACUCCAAAAUACUUCAAUAACUUAGAGUGGCUACUGGAAUCGUACCAUGCUCACACGAAGCUAUCAGAAGACGGAAUGGCCGAAACCAGGAAAUGUACAAGAAGAAAAAUCAAGUUCCAACAAUGUGACAGGAAGAGAAGAAAAUAUCAGAAAUAAGUCAAUAGGUCAAGUACAAACAAUAAAUAAGUAAACAAGACUGUAGGCAACACAUACGACAUACAAGGAUUUAAUUAA